UUAAAACUUAAGAGGAAAGUGGAAUAUAGAGGAAGUAAAUAGGAGAAGAGCUACAAAGAAAAGCAAAAACUGAAAAAAAGGUUUUCAAAUUAUGCUUCAAGGAAUCUCAUUGGCAAUACAGGAAGGCCUAUAAUCCCAGCACUUUGGGAGGGUGAGGUGGGCGGAUCACCAGAGGUCAAGAGUUGGAGACCAGCCUGGCCACCAUGGUGAAACCCUGUCUCUACUAAAAAUACAAAAAUUAGCCGGGCAUGGUGGCAGACACCUGUAAUCCCAGCUACAUGGGAGGCUGAGGCAGGAGAAUUGCUUGAACACAGGAGGCGGAGGUUGCAGUGAGCCGAGAUCAUGCCAUUGCACUCCAGCCUGGCGAUAGAGUGAGACUACAUCUCAACAAACAAACAAACAAACAAACAAACAAAAAAACAAGACAGAAUCUCACCAGGGAAGCCCCUUCUUUAUCUGUUUUAUAUAUUGAACAAUCAAGAUCAAUUCUAGUUGAAAAAAUAAUUAUUGCUUAACAAGUUUUGAAAACCACGGUACUAUACUUUUAAUAUGGUUGAUUAGAAGGGGUCAGGGAAAGGGGUCAGUUCAAACACAAAUGAAGCUAAAUAUGUCUGAAUACGGAGAAAAAAGGAACUCCAAGCAUUGUUUUCAUCAGAACAGUUAAAGACUUGAAGCCUUCUCAAAAGAAGGCCCAGUUGAAACAAUAGUUUAUCAGAGCAACAACUCAGAUUGCCAGUUUGGACAGCACCCAAGUACUACUUAAGACUCCUCCAUUCCCCAGGUUUAUUUUCAGCAUCAUCCUCAAGCAUAAUGUGCUUUCCCAAUGCACUAUUGCAACACCACUACACAUGAGGUAGAAACAGAAACCUUGCUAAACAGGUUCUGCGUUUGGCAAAAGUGCCAUGAAUAUGGGACAUUGUACAUCUCCAUGCCUGGGGAAAAUUCCUCGGUCUUUUUGGUUAACACCUUAUAGAAAUGUAAUGCAUGGAGUUCUCUACAUGAGCACAAAGUAGACUAAUUGAUACGAAGAGCCUGUAAAUAUGUGUGCAGCGGCAGAUUUUGAACAUUUGGACCGAACUGUAUUUGACACAGCGCAAUAUCUGGAACUGGUUGGUCAAAACCUGCUUGUCUUGUUAAAUUUCCUCUGUCCAAGGACAUGGAAUCUCUCUCUAAUUUUACUUCAAAUUUCCCUUUCCUUCAUUUCUCUAAAAACGUUAAAUAAGAAAGAAGAUUGUAAAGCCAGCAUUUGAAGCCUAAGUAUUGAAAGUCUUUGACAAUUUCUGAAAUCAGACUUGACAUCUUUCCCCCGCCUUGCAAAUUUCUUGAAGAAAUAAGAAGCUACAUGUAAGCAUCAUCAUGUUUAUUAAAUUACAAUGAGAACUCUCACUCAAUCUUGACCAGAGCAGACUCUUAACUUGGAAGCAGAGUCCCUCUAAAGGUAACUCUUGUGGUCACUCAAUAUUGUAUUGGCAUUUGCAUAUUAAAUAGACAUUUCAGUAGCAUUUAUUCAAAUUGAAUACUCUCAAUUGAAUUGCUAAAAUAUUGGAGGUGUCCACACUUGAUAAACUACUCAGCUUUUUGCCAUGUAUUUUUCAUAAAUGCAAUAUAAUCUUUUAAAGCACAAUAUUAAUUUUUCUCAAGCCUUUUCCUCAUCUUACCAUCCAAUGAUUUGAUAUACUUUCUUUAAUUCAGUUGAAUAUUUUCUAAUUAAAAAUGUAACAUCAACAAAAAUAACAGGAGUAAGCACCUUGUCUUAUUUACUUCUGAAAUCUAGGGAUAGAGGAGUGCAUGCCAUACAGUUGGCCUUUAAUUAAUAUAUGUUGAAAUAAUUAAUUAAAAGUAUAAAGAAGAAAAUAAAAGUCACUAACAAUCCCACCAUGAAUAAACAGCUACUAUUAAAAUUUGAGUAUUUCUAUCCAAAGUAUGUUUUCUUGAGCAGUAUAUUCAGGACUGACACCUUGCUGAUACUCAGAAGUAUGGCCAUACUAAUUGUUAAUUUACAAAGGAAAAAACAAAAACUGAAACUACAACUAAGCUCCUUAAAGACUUCCAUCUCCUUACUGGCUAGCCUAUCCUUCCCAGGAAACUUUCACCAGGACCAGAUACCUGUAUAGUCAGUCCCUGGAACAACUUGUGACUCUAGAAAACUGCUCCAGAACUAAGGUCUUCGUCUAUUCAAAGUGGCCAGUACUAGAGCCCUAAUAUUUGCCUUUUCAACCUAUAUGUAUUUAUCUGGAACUGGAUAUAGUACCUCAGUUAGAAUGUACUUGUCACCGUAAGUAAACACCGAUCACUAUAAAAUAAAUUACUGACUUCACCUUUAAAAUAAAUGCAAUGAAAAUUAUCUUUUUGAUUAAGUAAUAAUGCUCCUCAGAACAUACAGGAACAGCAGUGUGGUACUGAACAAAGACCAUGGAUUAGAGUAGGGAUGUUCUGGGUUUGAAAGGUGCAUAUAUUUCUAAUCAUCUGACCUUGGACAAAUUACUAAAUGAUGAUAAAAUUCUGCUGUUACUACUUAAUAUGAGAAUAAUAAAACUGUAUUCAUAAGAGUGUUGUACAAA